CGAAAGAUAGCUCCGGCCCUGCCAACUCAACUGCAGACCUGCUGAAACAAGGGGCAGCCUGCAAUGUGCUCUUCGUCAACUCUGUGGACAUGGAGUCACUCACUGGGCCACAGGCCAUCUCUAAAGCCACAUCUGAGACGUUGGCUGCAGACCCCACGCCAGCUGCCACCAUCGUUCACUUCAAAGUCUCUGCCCAGGGAAUCACUCUGACUGACAACCAGAGAAAGUAAGACUCCCCUGCCUGCUCCUCGGUGGGGUUCUCCUUCCUGUGACUCAUCUAUUCAUCCGUGUACCCACACAUUUACCACUUGAUUGAUUCCUUGCACCCAACUGCU
rnacentral:lncRNA from 1 species